UACGGUUAAACAAGGCCUAGCACAGGCCAACAAUUUUUUGCCAUGUGGCAGUUGUUUUGAAUUUACCUAGGUUUUUUUUUCUUUUUCUGUAUGUGGAGGGAGAAGAGGAAAGGUAUUGAAGGGAAGUAACUGUAUUCUAUGAUUUUAUUUCAGAUGCAGCUGUUCUCUUAGUUACAUUGGCAGAUUGUGUGUUGUCAAUGUUGACUAUUGCUUAGGGAACCACAGUAUAUCAGUGCAUGGCCUCUGCCUGGCCCUUUCGCACAAUUGUAACUGUAGCGGUCUGCAAAGAUAUGAAAGGAACAUCUGUGAGAUAGAUACUGAAGACUGCAAAUCUGCGUCCUGCAAAAAUGGAACAACUAGUACACAUUUAAGGGGAUAUUUCUUCCGCAAGUGUGUCCCAGGAUUUAAAGGUACGCAAUGUGAAAUUGAUAUAGAUGAGUGUGCUUCACAUCCCUGCAAAAAUGGAGCCACCUGCAUUGACCAACCUGGUAAUUACUUCUGCCAGUGUGUGCCUCCAUUUAAAGUGGUUGAUGGCUUUUCCUGCUUAUGCAAUCCAGGCUAUGUUGGGAUAAGAUGUGAACAGGACAUUGAUGACUGCAUCCUGAAUGCCUGUGAGCACAAUUCUACCUGCAAAGACCUGCAUCUCGGAGGCAGAAUCUCAAAAAUUCUUGAAAGUCAAU
rnacentral:lncRNA from 1 species